rnacentral:rRNA from 1 species
GACGGACGCUGGCGGCGUGCCUAAUACAUGCAAGUUGAGCGCUGAAGGUUGGUACUUGUACCGACUGGAUGAGCAGCGAACGGGUGAGUAACGCGUGGGGAAUCUGCCUUUGAGCGGGGGACAACAUUUGGAAACGAAUGCUAAUACCGCAUAAAAACUUUAAACACAAGUUUUAAGUUUGAAAGAUGCAAUUGCAUCACUCAAAGAUGAUCCCGCGUUGUAUUAGCUAGUUGGUGAGGUAAAGGCUCACCAAGGCGAUGAUACAUAGCCGACCUGAGAGGGUGAUCGGCCACAUUGGGACUGAGACACGGCCCAAACUCCUACGGGAGGCAGCAGUAGGGAAUCUUCGGCAAUGGACGAAAGUCUGACCGAGCAACGCCGCGUGAGUGAAGAAGGUUGUCGGAUCGUAAAACUCUGUUGGUAGAGAAGAACGUUGGUGAGAGUGGAAAGCUCAUCAAGUGACGGUAACUACCCAGAAAGGGACGGCUAACUACGUG